rnacentral:rRNA from 1 species
AGGGUUUGAUCAUGGCUCAGAACGUACGCUGGCGGCACGCCUAACACAUGCAAGUCGAACGAAGUAGCAAUACUUAGUGGCGAACGGGUGAGUAUAAUGUGGGUAUCUGCCUUUUGGUUUGGAAUAACACGGGGAAACUUGUGCUAAUACCGGAUAAGCCUUUACGGGGAAAGUUUUAACGCCAAAAGAUGAGCCCACACUUGAUUAGCUAGUUGGUAAGGUAAUGGCUUACCAAGGCUACGAUCAAUAGCUGAUCUGAGAGGAUGAUCAGCCACAUUGGGACUGAGACACGGCCCAAACUCCUACGGGAGGCAGCAGUGGGGAAUCUUGCACAAUGGGGGAAACCCUGAUGCAGCGAUGCCGCGUGAGUGAAGAAGGCCUUUGGGUUGUAAAGCUCUUUCGUCGGGGAAGAAAAUGACUGUACCCGAAUAAGAAGGUCCGGCUAACUUCGUGCCAGCAGCCGCGGUAAUACGAAGGGACCUAGCGUAGUUCGGAAUUACUGGGCUUAAAGAGCUCGUAGGUGGUUGGAAAAGUUG